rnacentral:rRNA from 1 species
UACAGAGGGUGCGAGCGUUAAUCGGAAUUACUGGGCGUAAAGCGCACGCAGGCGGCUUGGUAUGUCGGGUGUGAAAUCCCCGGGCUCAACCUGGGAACUGCAUCCGAAACUGCCUUGCUCGAGUAUGGGAGAGGGAAGUGGAAUUUCCGGUGUAGUGGUGAAAUGCGUAGAUAUCGGGAGGAACACCAGUGGCGAAGGCGACUUCCUGGCCUGUUCUUGACGCUGAGGCGCGAAAGCUAGGGGAGCAAACGGG